rnacentral:rRNA from 1 species
UUAGAGGGUUCAAAGCAGGCCUUUGCUCGAAUACAUUAGCAUGGAAUAAUAGAAUAGGACGCGCGGUUCUAUUUUGUUGGUUUCUAGGACCGCCGUAAUGUUUAAUAGGGAUAGUCGGGGGCAUCGGUUUACAAUUGUCAGAGGUGGAAAUUCUUGGAUUUAUUGAAGACUAACUACUGCGAAAGCUUUUGCCAAGGAUGUUUUCAUUAAUCAGUGCCGAAAGUGAGGGGAUCGAAG